UGGUUAAAAAGCUCGUAGUUGGAUCUCGGCGGACUGAGGGCGGUUUGCUUGCUAGUAUUACUGCCCUAUAGUCCGUAGUUUUGCCAGAGGUUUCGGGGUGCUCUUAAUCGAGUGUCCCGGGAUGCUGGCAGGUUUACUUUGAAAAAAUUAGAGUGCUCAAAGCAGGCUAUUACGCCUGAAUAUUCGUGCAUGGAAUAAUAGAAUAGGAAGUCGUUUCUAUUUUGUUGGUUUUCGGAAAUCGACUUAAUGAUUAAUAGGGACAGUCGGGGGCAUUUGUAUUCAAACGACAGAGGUGAAAUUCUUGGACCGUUUGAAGACAAACUACUGCGAAAGCAUUUGCCAAGAACGUUUUCAUUAAUCAAGAACGAAAGUUAAAGGUUCGAAGGCGAUUAGAUACCGCCCUAGUUUUAACCAUAAACGAUGCCAGCUAGCGAUCUGCGGACGUUUUUUUUGUAGACUCCGCAGGAAGCUUCCGGGAAACCAAAGCAUUUGGGUUCCAGGGGAAGUAUGGUUGCAAAGCUGAAACUUAAAGGAAUUGACGGAAGGGCACCACCAGGAGUGGAGCCUGUGGCUUAAUUUGACUCAACACGGGAAAUCUCACCAGGCCCGGACACUGGAAGGAUUGACAGAUUGAUAGCUCUUUCUUGAU
rnacentral:rRNA from 1 species